AGUGGCUUGGAAGAGCACGCUUUGACGAUCUCCCACAGGGGUCUGAGGUAGCUUCUGAGGGCCUUGCCCCGGGGUCCUAACUCAGGUCAACCUCGACUGGAGAGUUCAGCUCGUUUGCUCAGGGCGAGGCUGGACCUGCCUGGUGCAGCCUCCACUGGGGUCAGAAGGUUCACCGGAGGGGGUCUGCUUCUGAGCUCCUGGAUGGACUGUUGACAGGACUGGCGUCCUCAGAAGCUGUUGGCCUGAGGGCCUCAGAUGCUCCUGCCUGGGGUCUGAAGACUGCCCUCCGAGCCACAGGGCGCGAGAACACCAUUUCUGGCCCUCAUCCAUGUGAGCAGCAAUAGAGCCGGUGAGAGCUGGCCAGAGGGCUCUCUCACCUUAGCAGCCCACACUGGAGAAUCUAGGUGGCAUCUGAACACAGGGCUCUCGGGGGUCACCGCAAAGCGCCACCUAACACAACCCGUAAGCCGGGUGUCCCGAGGAGGGGCCGAGCAGACGGCCACUGGUUUCUCUAAGUCAGAGCCUCUGUAGAGAAGACACUGGGAGAUAACGUUUACAGAGAGGCGUGCUGAGACGGAAUCUAGUAAGAAAUGGACAGCAUGAAAAAGAAGCCGUCAAGAUGUAGCGUAGGCUGCGGGGGAUACGGAAACAGAAGGGAAGGAACCGAGACAUGGAGAUGCGGGAUCACAUUCCGUGUCCAUUCUCAGGAAGACCGAUCCCUGAGGUGUUUCCCCACGGAGCCGGAGCCGACCAUGACGUAAACAGCGAAGGAUUUGGGGCCACAUUCCUGAUAGUCCUCCUCCGGACUUCUUGACAAGGGGGUGGAGCUGAGUCGUUCCUGGAAUCAUCGAUCACCCCAGACAUCACAUUUAGAACUAUGCAAAUAAUUCAGACGCUACAACGCAAGCCCUAAAUAGACCUUAAACCCACACACAACUUACUUGUGUCCAGAUCCGUGGACUGUGUCCCUUUAAAUGUCCUUUCCAUUCCUGGUUGUACUGUAAUCAGCAGAUGGCCCUGCCUUCCCCCCUCUCCCCACUCCCCCCUUGAAACAGACCCCUCUAAUAGCUAACAUCCUGCGGUGACCAAAGCCAUUAGAAGGAUUAGACCAUUACUGUUCUGUCCAGCACACACACAAUGCUCCAGGGACUGCCUUUCUUCCUCUUCGUUUGAUGUUUUUUUGUGGAUGAAAUCAGGGCCCAAUGGCAGGUUGAAAAAUCAAAAAAUGAGGAGAGCAGAAGGUGAUAGUCAUUCUUUCUAAGGACACCUCCCAAACAGCUUUCCUAUUUGAGAUUCCUUUGUUAAGGUGACAGCAGAUGCCAGCCUUGUGGAUAAGGCAGGCACAGAACGCACGCGGACAGGUAGGUUACAGACCUCUGUUCCUCGUUACCAUAAUACUGAAUGCUCAUCCUUUCCCAACCACGCCAGCGAAUCCGUUCUCUGUCUGCUCGCCCGCCCCGUUGUUUGUGCUGGAAAGAACCCCGGCCCAGCCCAGAGCCACGUUGCAGGGCUCGGGACUGCUCUGAAACACUGCCACCAAGUGGCGUGAUGAGACUCCUGCCUACCCUGGAUCUCUCAUUAGGCGGAAAUCAACACAGCCUUCGGCGCAGUGAAGUUGUCAAUUGGAAGACCUAAGUUUGUGUUUCAACACCUGAUGGGUCUGAAAUUCUUGCUCGGAGACAUAUGCAGUGGAUGUGCCGAGAGGAAAUUAUAUCCGGCUUUCUGCUUCUGCUCAGCGCUUUCCCCCGGUAUUUGCCGCCAUAAUGGGAAGCCCGGGAGGUUAUGGGGCAUCCUGAGGGCACUGCAAUAAAAGCCGUGUUGGUACCCCAUGUCACCCUGAGACCCUGCCGACAGUACUGUCAGAGGCCAGCAGAGGGCACUGGAUUCCUCUGGAACUGGAUCGUGGGUGGCUGUGAGCUGCCAUGGCGGUGCUUAGAAGCAGACCCAGAACUUACAGAGGUA